rnacentral:rRNA from 1 species
GAUGAACGCUGGCGGCGUGCCUAAUACAUGCGAGUCGAGCGAACAGACGAGGAGCUUGCUCCUCUGACGUUAGCGGCGGACGGGUGAGUAACACGUGGAUAACCUACCUAUAAGACUGGGAUAACUUCGGGAAACCGGAGCUAAUACCGGAUAAUAUAUUGAACCGCAUGGUUCAAUAGUGAAAGACGGUUUUGCUGUCACUUAUAGAUGGAUCCGCGCCGCAUUAGCUAGUUGGUAAGGUAACGGCUUACCAAGGCAACGAUGCGUAGCCGACCUGAGAGGGUGAUCGGCCACACUGGAACUGAGACACGGUCCAGACUCCUACGGGAGGCAGCAGUAGGGAAUCUUCCGCAAUGGGCGAAAGCUUGACGGAGCAACGCCGCGUGAGUGAUGAAGGUCUUCGGAUCGUAAAACUCUGUUAUUAGGGAAGAACAAAUGUGUAAGUAACUAUGCACGUCUUGACGGUUCCUAAUCAGAAAGCCACGGCUAACUACGUG